UUCCAGAAUGAAGAGGAUGGCUUCACUUGACUCACAAAAGAGAACCAUGAGAGAUUCUAAAACAGAAUGCCAGCCAUGUUUCAGGAAGACUAACCUGGUGGGGCAUGGGAGAUAAAUGGGGCAGAAGAGAGACGGAAUGAAGGCAAGAGAACCAGGCCUCCAUUUCUCUUCCUGCACUUUGAAGACUCAAAGAAGGUCUGGUGAAGUAUUGAAGACUCAUGGAAGGUCUGGUGAAGUACAGAACAACAGGAAUAUGGGAGCCUAAAUCAGCUGUAACCCCAGGUAUCCCCCCCUCCCCCAACUGAGCUGGUCCAGUUCUGCCACCAAUAAAGAACAAGCCAUGUCUGAAAAACCUAGAUCCCUUUUUAGCAUUGUAAACCAUGUAGGAGAUGCUUAUUACAUCUGCUUUGUUCUCUAUUUCUAUGGUGCCUAUCACCAUAGUAACAAGGCACACAGAUGGAAAAGUAGGCUAGGCAUACCCAAAAAUGGGGGUGGGGAUGGGAAAAGGGGGGAAAGGGCCUUUCACUGAUUAAGAGAGAAAAGGCUCAAGUUUCUUCUAUCUGGGCUGUCAGUACAAUAUUAAUGGGCAAGCUAACUGAAAAAAAGUAGGUUUUGUCUUUAAGAGAGUCACAGUAGAAAACAGCCUAACAAUUUAGUAAGUACCAAUAUUUACAGGAGAUAGACUUGCUAGGCUUCUGAGGUUUUAAAAUCAGAUAUAUUUUAUUAGAAAAUCUUAUGUGCAAAUCAAAGUUUUUAUAACAGUCUCCAAUUUUGGAAAUCAUGUGCUCAUUUCACAGAGCGGAUGAUUACUAUUAAAAUCUUUUGGUUAUUUUGUAAUACUAAAAGUUGAGACAUCUGUUAAGGAAGUGUGGCUGAGAAGAUAAGUUGAUACAAUGAAUACUUUCCUGAAAGUGACAAGUGUAUCUUCCAAGUUUUUGUAUAAAAUGUCCCAAAAGGAAAUCACUGGGUGGGGAGUAGGGGUGACUGUUGUUUCAUCUUAGGGACUCACUGCCCCUGUUGAAACUGGCACAAGGCCUUUCCCAUAUGCGGCCCCCCUGCUUUCCGCAGGUUCAGAGACCUUCAAAGGCAUUAUCUGUGCCUAUAUGCUCUUUAAAGCCAUGAUGAGCCAAAGUUUCAUCUGUAAGAAAACUUGCUAUUCCAAGAUCUUUUUCCUUUCCUGCUGCCAGUUUGAGUCCUUCCUAGGACACAUUUGAGAUACUUAAGAUGUUAUUUAUGCUGUUACUGGUCAGGAAAUAAGAAAAGCCACACUAGCUACAUAAAUUACUUGUUUUACUACAAAGGUUUUUUAGUACAUAGGUUUUACUCUAUGUAAAAAAAAAUGGUGCAUAU